GACGAACCGAGCGAACGUUGUUCGGAAUCACUGGGCUUAAAGGGCGCGUAGGCGGGUGCUCAAGUCCGGGGUGAAAUCCUCCAGCUCAACUGGAGAACUGCCUCGGAUACUGGGUGCCUCGAGGGUGGCAGGGGUAUGCGGAACUAUCGGUGGAGCGGUGAAAUGCGUUGAUAUCGAUAGGAACUCCGGUGGCGAAGGCGGCAUACUGGAUCACUUCUGACGCUGAGGCGCGAAAGCCAGGGGAGCGAACGGG
rnacentral:rRNA from 1 species